rnacentral:rRNA from 1 species
UACGUAGGGUGCAAGCGUUAAUCGGAAUUACUGGGCGUAAAGCGUGCGCAGGCGGUUUAGUAAGUCUGUCGUGAAAGCCCCGGGCUCAACCUGGGAAUUGCGAUGGAGACUGCAAGGCUUGAAUCUGGCAGAGGGGGGUAGAAUUCCACGUGUAGCAGUGAAAUGCGUAGAGAUGUGGAGGAACACCGAUGGCGAAGGCAGCCCCCUGGGUCAAGAUUGACGCUCAUGCACGAAAGCGUGGGGAGCAAACAGG